UUUUUAAACAACAUAAAAUAUUUGAUCAAAUAAAUACUAUCCAAAUUUCUAUCUAAGGGCUAUUAUAUAAAUUCUCAUUUUCCAAAAUAUUCCAUUUUAUUCAGUUUUGCUUUGACCCUGUUGACCCUGUCUUUCAUGGGUUUUUUUUGUCUGUCCCUGAUAUUAAUUUCCACUCUGUUAGUGUCCCACUUUUGUCAACCUCAUGAUGAAUGAAUGAAAAUCAAAUUAGAUCCUCUUGUUUCUGCUCAGAUCUCAGCAUGUCUGGUAGACAUCUCAUCAUGGAGGUCAGCUCAUCAGCUGAAACUUAAUCCCAACUAAACUGAACUGCUGUUCAUCCCAGCUGAUUCAUCACCAUGUCUGGACAACUUUCUUGUCCCACCUUCAAGUACUGCACACAACCUUGGGGUGACCAUGAACAAUCAACUGUGCUUUUCCUCUCUCAUUGCUAAUCUGACCUGCUCAUGUCGAUUUCUCCUUUGCAACAUCAGAAGGACUCGUCCAUUUCUGUCCAUACGGGCCAUUCAGGUGCUGGGUCAGUGUCUUGUCAUUUUGAGACUGGACUACUGCAACUCACUCCUGGCAGGUCUGUCUCGGAGUGCCAUUUGACCUCUGCAACUGAUCCAGAAUGCAGCUGCUCGCCAUGUUUUCAACCUUCCUAACUUUUCCCACACCACCCCAUUGUUACGCUCCCUCCACUGGCUUCCUGUAGCUAACCCGCAUCAGAUUUAAAUCUAUGAUGCGUGUUUACAGAGCCAAAAAUGGACCAGCACCCAUUUACCUCAAAUCACUUAUCACACCAUGCACUGCACCACACUCCCUCCGAACCUCUAGCACCGCUACACUAGUGCCAUCAUCUCUCAGGGUACAACUAAGGCGUGCAUCAAGAUUCUUCUCUGUUCUGGCAUCUAGGUAACUUCCCCUAGAUGUCGGACAUCUAAAGACGUCCUCUUUCUAAAGCAGGGGUGUCCAAUCUUAUCCGCAAAGGACCUGUGUGGGUGUACGUUUUCAUUCCAAUCAAACAGGAGCCACACCUGAUUCCACCUGUUUAAUCAGUUGAGCUUGGCUUUCAGUAGAUUCAGGUGUGGCUCUUGCUUGGAUGGAAUGAAAACCUGAACCCCACACCGGCCCUUUGUGGAUAAGAUUGGACAUCCCUGUCCUAAAGUAUUUAAAUGAGCACACUUCAUUUAAAAAUAAAUAAAUAAUAAAUAAUUAUUCUAGCCUGUGCGUUUUUCUUACUAUAUUACCUCCCAACAGAAUUUUAAGACUGAUGGUAUUCUUAGGAUGUAUUUAUUUAUAGAGACUUCAAAGCUCUUCUGUAAGUCAGUCUGGAUAAGCACGUCUGCCAAAUGCCAUAAAUGUAAAUGUACCAUUAUAAAUAUAUCCUAAUACAGGGGAAUAUACACAUCACAUGUAAAUGCUCUUCUUAUAUCAGUAAUUUCUUAAGAUGAUCUAUACAGUAUGCAUAUGUACAUUUUCCUAAAGUAACAGGGUCCACACACACUUACUCUGCAUGAGGAUUUGUUCUCGCGAUUUGGUCGUGGCCGUGGUGAGGUUGGUCACGGGAGAAGCUGUGUUGGCUUGCAUCUUCACCAGUGUGCUGAAACAAGCAAAACAAAAUGCUUUAAAACUCAGUUUUACGAUUGAAAACAAUCCAAGACUGUGACCUUUGAGUUAAUAAGUGACUCAAUAUUACUUGAUAUUAUAAUCAUAAUGUAAUCUUUUAUUAAACAUUAUUUC
ensembl:lncRNA